rnacentral:rRNA from 1 species
GACGAACGCUGGCGGCGUGCUUAACACAUGCAAGUCGAACGGAAAGGCCCUGCUUGCAGGGUACUCGAGUGGCGAACGGGUGAGUAACACGUGGGUGAUCUGCCCUGCACUUCGGGAUAAGCCUGGGAAACUGGGUCUAAUACCGGAGAGGAGCCAUUUUUAGUGUGAUGGUUGGAAAGUUUUUUCGGUGUAGGAUGAGCUCGCGGCCUAUCAGCUUGUUGGUGGGGUAAUGGCCUACCAAGGCGGCGACGGGUAGCCGGCCUGGGGGGGUGGACGGCCACAUUGGGACCGGGGUACGGCCCAGACCCCCAAGGGGGGGAGGAGUGGGGAAUAUUGCACAAUGGGCGCAAGCCUGAUGCAGCGACGCCGCGGGGGGGAUGACGGGCUUCGGGUUGUAAACUCCUUUCGCCAGGGACGAAGCGUUUUGUGACGGUACCUAGAGAAGAAGCACCGGCUAACUACGUG